UACGGAGGGAUGCGAGCGUUAUCCGGAUUUAUUGGGUUUAAAGGGUGCGCAGGCGGGCUGUUAAGCCGGCGGUAAAAAUUCAGGGCGUCAACCCUGUCGAGCCGUCGGAACUGGCAGUCUUGAGUGGGCGAGAAGUAUGCGGAAUGCGUGGUGUAGCGGUGAAAUGCAUAGAUAUCACGAAGAACUCCGAUUGCGAAGGCAGCUCACUGGACUGCAACUGACACUGAGGCUCGAAAGUGUGGGUAUCAAACAGG
rnacentral:rRNA from 1 species